GAUGAACGCUGGCGGCGUGCCUAACACAUGCAAGUCGAACGAUGAAACCGCCCUCGGGCGGACAUGAAGUGGCGAACGGGUGAGUAACACGUGACCAACCUGCCCCUUGCUCCGGGACAACCUUGGGAAACCGAGGCUAAUACCGGAUACUCCUCGCCCCCCUCUGGGGGCCCGGGAAAGCCCAGACGGCAAGGGAUGGGGGUCGCGGCCCAUUAGGUAGUAGGCGGGGUAACGGCCCACCUAGCCCGCGAUGGGUAGCCGGGUUGAGAGACCGACCGGCCACAUUGGGACUGAGAUACGGCCCAGACUCCUACGGGAGGCAGCAGUGGGGAAUUUUGCGCAAUGGGGGAAACCCUGACGCAGCAACGCCGCGUGCGGGACGACGGCCUUCGGGUUGUAAACCGC
rnacentral:rRNA from 1 species